rnacentral:rRNA from 1 species
ACAAGUAGUCAGAGCCCGUUAAUGGGUGAUGGCGUGCCUUUUGUAGAAUGAACCGGCGAGUUACGAUUUGAUGCAAGGUUAAGCAGUAAAUGUGGAGCCGUAGCGAAAGCGAGUCUGAAUAGGGCGUUUAGUAUUUGGUCGUAGACCCGAAACCAGGUGAUCUACCCUUGGUCAGGUUGAAGUUCAGGUAACACUGAAUGGAGGACCGAACCGACUUACGUUGAAAAGUGAGCGGAUGAACUGAGGGUAGCGGAGAAAUUCCAAUCGAACCUGGAGAUAGCUGGUUCUCUCCGAAAUAGCUUUAGGGCUAGCCUCAAGUGAUGAUUAUUGGAGGUAGAGCACUGUUUGGACGAGGGGCCCCUCUCGGGUUACCGAAUUCAGACAAACUCCGAAUGCCAAUUAAUUUAACUUGGGAGUCAGAACAUGGGUGAUAAGGUCCGUGUUCGAAAGGGAAACAGCCCAGACCACCAGCUAAGGUCCCAAAAUAUAUGUUAAGUGGAAAAGGAUGUGGCGUUGCCCAGACAACUAGGAUGUUGGCUUAGAAGCAGCCAUCAUUUAAAGAGUGCGUAAUAGCUCACUAGUCGAGUGACACUGCGCCGAAAAUGUACCGGGGCUAAACAUAUUACCGAAGCUGUGGAUUGUCCUUUGGACAAUGGUAGGAGAGCGUUCUAAGGGCGUU